rnacentral:rRNA from 1 species
UGGUAGUCCAUGCCGUAAACGACGUCUACUAGCCGUUGGGGGAUUUGAUCCUUUAGUGGCGCAGCUAACGCGAUAAGUAGACCGCCUGGGGAGUACGGUCGCAAGACUAAAACUCAAAUGAAUUGACGGGGGCCCGCACAAGCGGUGGAGCAUGUGGUUUAAUUCGAUGCAACGCGAAGAACCUUACCUGGCCUUGACAUAGUAGAAACUUUCCAGAGAUGGAUUGGUGCCUUCGGGAAUCUACAUACAGGUGCUGCAUGGCUGUCGUCAGCUCGUGUCGUGAGAUGUUGGGUUAAGUCCCGCAACGAGCGCAACCCUUUUCCUUACUUGCCAGCAUUUCGGAUGGGAACUUUAAGGAUACUGCCAGUGACAAACUGGAGGAAGGCGGGGACGACGUCAAGUCAUCAUGGCCCUUACGGCCAGGGCUACACACGUGCUACAAUGGUUGGUACAAAGGGUUGCUACCUAGCGAUAGGAUGCUAAUCUCAAAAAGCCGAUCGUAGUCCGGAUCGCAGUCUGCAACUCGACUGCGUGAAGUCGGAAUCGCUAGUAAUCGCGGAUCAGAAUGCCGCGGUGAUACGUUCCCGGGC